UGUUCUGUGGCUUAGUUAGUUAAAGCACCGGUCUAACAAAUACGGAGUCGUGGGUUCAAAUCCCAUCAGAAUGU
rfam:Aedes albopictus isolate Foshan contig140054, whole genome shotgun sequence.